rnacentral:rRNA from 1 species
AGCAACGCCGCGUGAGUGAUGAAGGUUUUCGGAUCGUAAAGCUCUGUUGUUAGGGAAGAACAAGUGCAAGAGUAACUGCUUGCACCUUGACGGUACCUAACCAGAAAGCCACGGCUAACUACGUGCCAGCAGCCGCGGUAAUACGUAGGUGGCAAGCGUUGUCCGGAAUUAUUGGGCGUAAAGGGCUCGCAGGCGGUUUCUUAAGUCUGAUGUGAAAGCCCCCGGCUCACCGGGGAGGGUCAUUGGAAACUGGGAAACUUGAGUGCAGAAGAGGAGAGUGGAAUUCCACGUGUAGCGGUGAAAUGCGUAGAGAUGUGGAGGAACACCAGUGGCGAAGGCGACUCUCUGGUCUGUAACUGACGCUGAGGAGCGAAAGCGUGGGGAGCGAACAGGAUUAGAUACCCUGGUAGUCCACGCCGUAAACGAUGAGUGCUAAGUGUUAGGGGGUUUCCGCCCCUUAGUGCUGCAGCUAACGCAUUAAGCACUCGCCUGGGGAGUACGGUCGCAAGACUGAAACUCAAAGGAAUUGACGGGGGCCCGCACAAGCGGUGGAGCAUGUGGUUUAAUUCGAAGCAACGCGAAGAACCUUACCAGGUCUUGACAUCCUCUGACAACCCUAGAGAUAGGGCUUUCCCUUCGGGGACAGAGUGACAGGUGGUGCAUGGUUGUCGUCAGCUCGUGUCGUGAGAUGUUGGGUUAAGUCCCGCAACGAGCGCAACCC